UCAACCCAAAAACUCGUAACAAUGGCUAUGUCCGUCCCUAUUUUAGCCAUCAUCUUUGCUCUCCAUCUCAUCGCCUUCGUCUUCGCCGUCGGCGCUGAACGACGCCGUAGCUUCGUACCCACUCUCACUCUCACUCUCACUCUCACUCUCACAUGUGAAACUGUAAUUUUUUGUUGUUUUAACUUAACUAGUGGUUUUUUUAAAUGAAGGCUAAGAUGGUGCCUGAUCAGUACGACGAGAGGACCUACUGCCUCUACAGUAGGUUUUGUUGCAUAGCUAGCUAAAUUGAUUUCUAGGUUUAGAUGCUCAUUCCAAAGAGACAUAAGAAAGUGAGACAUGUCCUAGACAGUAGGAUUAAAUUACAGAGGCGAAAGGGGACACAUAAACAUCAAAUUAGUUGUGAACGCAAACACUAAAGGCUCAAAGGUUAGGAGAGUGCAACUGGAAUUUUUUAUGAUCACAAUACAGCUGUGUUUGAAGUUGAAGUUCUAUUUGACUACUAUCAAUGACCAAUCUUGUUUUUCCAUGGUAUGAAAUGUUAGGCUAACAAGAAGCAACAUAUACAAGAGACAAGUAUAGCGAAGUUGCAAACAUUAAGAUGGGAUGUGUGGUAAGGCUAAGAAAGAUAUGGUUAGAAACUAGAUAUUCACCUCCAAGUUGAGAUGGCUCUUAAAGAAGAUAAGGUGACAAAGAUUAGCCACAUAAGAAGCAGAUCGAUAGCUUAACAUGUUAGAAUAAUGAAAACUUUGGUAUUGCAUUG
rnacentral:lncRNA from 1 species